rnacentral:rRNA from 1 species
UACAGAGGUCUCAAGCGUUGUUCGGAUUCAUUGGGCGUAAAGGGUGCGUAGGCGGCGCGGUAAGUCGGGUGUGAAAUCUCGGAGCUUAACUCCGACACUGCAUUCGAUACUGCCGUGCUUGAGGACUGGAGAGGAGACUGGAAUUUACGGUGUAGCGGUGAAAUGCGUAGAUAUCGUAAGGAAGACCAGUGGCGAAGGCGGGUCUCUGGACAGUGACUGACGCUGAGACGCGAAAGCGUGGGGAGCAAACAGG